rnacentral:lncRNA from 1 species
UGCAUUAAUAAUAGUUAUGGUGUAUUUUGUUAUUUAGAUAUUUUCAUUUUAGUUCCUUUUCAUUUGUGAAGUCUAUGUAUAUAUAUAUAUACAGGCUUGUUGAUCUGAGUUUAUUUCUGAUCGGCGAUCAAUUGCGAUAUGGCGAUAUUAUAUCACUGAUCGCAGUAACGCAAUUGUUCCUGAUCUUUAUAUUGCAACAGAAAUAGCAAAAAAAUUGCGAUCCGAUCAAUUUGUACAAAAUUACGUAUCAUGGAAUAGUGCUGUGAUUCUCAAGAGCAGUCUCAAGACAUAGACUGGUCUCGAGAUAGUUUUUCCCCCGCCAAACGUCCCAAAAGAUGGAUACGGCUAAGGAGGAAGUGGAAAGAUGACUGAAGGUCUGGAAAUGGUUUUGGCCUACUCGAGGGCCAAAAAGAAAUGUGAAUAUUAAGUAUUAUGGAUAUGAAUACCUAUGAUAUGUUAACAUAAUUAUGAUUACUUCUUGCAUAGCCCCAUUACCACAAAUUAUACUACUAAUGUAAUGUCUUCGACAGUUUCAGAAUAUAUGGAUGACGUAACGUUUUCAAAAAAAGUCCUCGAUGCUCCCACAAUUUAAAUGGUACCAACUUGUGACAUAAAUGGUGGACUCGGGCACCCUCAACCUUUACUCCCAAUCGCCCUGGAUAUUGGUCACUUGUUUAGUGAGAAAUAUAACAUUUAAAGGGUUGAAAAUAAAAAACUUGACCCCACCCAACUCGUGGGUCCCGCUGGCUAAACGUCAACCCGUGUAUCAUUAAUAGAAUUGUCUAUAGUGUAUGUGCUUCGGCCACCAAUUAAUUGUUUCAUUAGUUCUAUUUUUCGGUAUAUUAAUGUCGAGUCAUCAUAGUCACUCCUAAUUUUAAAGAUAUAGUAAUUGUACAUUAAUUUGGAGCUCCCAUUCCAAGAUUGCCUCCCAAACUACUCAAGAGUGCUGUGUCUUGGAUUUUCAAAAUGUUCAUGUCUGCAAUCCUUUGACACACCCCAAACACUACGAAAUUUCAUUGUGAGUAGUGUAGAGCGUCAUUAAGAGUUUGAGCCAAGAACAAAUUUACUGGUGGGACUACAACUAUCAAAUUAUUGAAUGGGAUAUCGUGUAGAAGAUAUCAAGGACUUAUUGGAUAGAUUUGAAUAGAUCGGUUGCACUGACUCUAAUAAAAUUUAUGUCGGUCUGAAUGCAAUGACGUCAUUAGCUACCAUUUUUUAUGGAAUAGCAGAUUCCGACCUUAAAAGUUUCGAAGCAAAUUCACAAUUAAAUAACAUCAAACUUUUAUUUAUUGUUCGGUCUUUAAGCAAAUAAUUAUUGAUAUCACUAACUUUUAUGUAUCACCAUUGCUACAUUUACUUUUAUUUAAAUGACGCAGGGAUUAGUUUUAGCAAUCAAUGUACCUUUUAGCAAUGGUGUCUACUUCUACCUAUAUAUAUUUUAUUAUGUACAUAUUUUAUAUGGUAGUCCCUUACAAAUAUAUUCUCCAGUAUAUGCAA